UCCGAGUUGACCCCGGCAGUCUCUCACGAGUCCCCACCAUUACGUGCUGGCAACAUGAGACAAGGGUUGCGCUCGUUGCGGGACUUAACCCAACAUCUCACGACACGAGCUGACGACAGCCAUGCACCACCUGUGAGAGUGCCCCGAAGGGAGACCGUGUUUCCACGGCUGUCACUCACAUGUCAAGCCCAGGUAAGGUUCUUCGCGUUGCGUCGAAUUAAACCACAUGCUCCACUGCUUGUGCGGGUCCCUGUCAAUUCCUUUGAGUUUUAGCCUUGCGGCCGUACUCCCCAGGCAGGGCACUUAAUGCGUUAGCUGCGGCACCGGAGGGGUCGAUACCCCCGACACCUAGUGCCCACCGUUUACGGCGUGGACUAC
rnacentral:misc_RNA from 1 species